UUCGUAGGUGGUGCGGCAAGUUGGAAGUGAAAUCUCUGGGCUUAACCCAGAGGCUGCUUUCAAAACUGCCGCGCUCGAGUGCGAGAGAGGUCAGUGGAAUUGCAGGUGUAGCGGUGAAAUGCGUAGAUAUCUGCAGGAACACCCGUGGCGAAGGCGGCUGACUGGAUCGCAACUGACACUGAGGAACGAAAGCUAGGGGAGCAAACA
rnacentral:rRNA from 1 species